GUCCGAGUUGUAAUCUCUAGAAAUGUUUUCCGCGUUGGACCGCACACAAGUCUGUUGGAAUACAGCGGCAUAGUGGUGAGACCCCCGUAUAUGGUGCGGACGCCCAGCGCUUUGUGAUACAUUUUCGAAGAGUCGAGUUGUUUGGGAAUGCAGCUCAAAUUGGGUGGUAAAUUCCAUCUAAAGCUAAAUAUUGGCGAGAGACCGAUAGCGAACAAGUACCGUGAGGGAAAGAUGAAAAGCACUUUGGAAAGAGAGUUAACAGUACGUGAAAUUGUUGGAAGGGAAACGCUUGAAGUCAGACUUGCUUGCCGAGCAAUCGGUUUGCAGGCCAGCAUCAGUUUUCCGGGAUGGAUAAUGGUAGAGAGAAGGUAGCAGUUUCGGCUGUGUUAUAGCUCUCUGCUGGAUACAUCUUGGGGGAUCUGAGGAACGCAGU
rnacentral:rRNA from 1 species